CCCUUAGAUGUUCUGGGUCGCACGCGCGCUACACUGAUGCAUUCAACGAGUCUAAAACCUGCUCUGAUAGGGGUGGGUAAUCUUUUGAAUGUGCAUCGUGAUUGGGAUAGAUGAUUGCAAUUUUUCAUCUUCAACGAGGAAUGCCUAGUAAACGCAAGUCAUCAGCUUGCAUUGAUUACGUCCCUGCCCUUUGUACACACCGCCCGUCGCUCCUACCGAUUGAAUGAUCCGAUGAAUAUCAUGGAUUGAGGAUGCAAGUAGGUUAGCCUAUCUUCAUCUUCGAGAAGUGAAGUAAAUCUUAUCAUUUAGAGGAAGGAGAAGUCGUAACA
rnacentral:rRNA from 1 species